UACGGAGGAUCCAAGCGUUAUCCGGAAUCAUUGGGUUUAAAGGGUCCGUAGGCGGUCUUGUAAGUCAGUGGUGAAAGCCCAUCGCUCAACGGUGGAACGGCCAUUGAUACUGCAGGACUUGAAUUAUUGGGAAGUAACUAGAAUAUGUAGUGUAGCGGUGAAAUGCUUAGAGAUUACAUGGAAUACCAAUUGCGAAGGCAGGUUACUGGGACGUUACUGACACUGAGGCGCGAAAGCGUGGGGAGCGAACAGG
rnacentral:rRNA from 1 species